UUUUUCUUUUGCUUUGUCUAUAGGCUUCACAUUGGAGCAAAUGUGCUGACAAUGGGCCGAUCUCGAUGGUAAUUCGCAUGGUUUCAUGGGGUAUUUUGGUCUUUCCAAUGUGGCAUAAAGGUAAAAUUUGUGGCUCCUGAAUUUUCUGAUAUUGACUUUGCAUUUUCUUUCUCUAUAAUGCCCUUGGUGGUCCGGUUUUGCCCGUAAAUUUGGAGAUUUGUGUGUCCGUUUAUUAAUGUUUGGUUGGGCUUUCUUGUAAUUUUAACCAUAUUUGUGCCCUUUUAUUGUUCUUUCCCUUAACUUUAUCGUGAUUACCUGGUGGGGUGGAGACCGAGGAGUCAGAAAUGCCCAUUUGUCCUCUCCUUUCUUCAUCAUCAGUCUCACUCUUCUAAUUUCUCUCAUCUUCUUCCUCUUUUCUUUGGUUUUUUUUUUUUGUUUUUGAUUCUGGCCGAGAGCAACAACAAGAACAACAAGGGUGGCAAGCAAGAGAACAACUUACCUUUAGAUUUGAUGACAAAGAGGGCUCCAGCAUCAAGCUCCUGCUUUUGAUCAUUUCCAGUCGGUUGAAGAUUAUCAGCAACUUCUCUUUCUGAUGCUAUGGAACUUGGAUUCCGAGACGAAACCAUGAUGAUGAUCUCUUUCUCUUUAUGGGCUUUGAUGGAUUGUCGGGUAUAUGGUCUGAGGGAAGGUUUCUAUGACAAGUUUCAUGAGAUCUAUGUUCUCGACAGAGAGGUCUCUAUACUGAGCUGACGAACAUUAAGAUUUGUUAUCUAACAUUCGGUGGUUAGUUAAGUUUGGUCAGCUUUUGCUGCCACAAUUGUUGAAGAAAAAAAUGAGGAAGAAGAUGAGAAGUAAGAGAAAGUAAGGGUUAAGAGAGAGGGAGUCGGAUGGCUAAUGAAAGCAGUGGAGAAAAGGGUACCCGGUACUAUCACUGAAAAGUUGGGAGCAAGUAACCUUCUCCCAUGAGAAACAAAGGGAGAGGACGUCUCGAGACUGGACUGGUUGGGGUUGGUGGAGUCGUUCCUGAUUUCCUGUGAAGAGUCUGAAGACCAAUGCACUACCAAAUGAAGGAAACAGAAAGCAAGGUCACGUGCGGGAAGUAAAAGAAUAAUGUACUUUUGCAUUUGACCAAAAGUGACUUAGUAAAACGUUUCACCAAUGUCAGCCGAGGUGAAAUAAGCCAAACUUUAGCAGCUGAACAAACUUCCUCCAAUGAAACAAGCAAAUUGCAGCCGAGCAGAAAUAAGCUGAACUUCCACUCUGGAGCUGCCACGUCCAAGAAAAUAAUGUACAUCAAAUGGGUUCUGCUGUACUAUGUUUGCACGUCCAAGAGGAUGAUGGAGAUUUAAAAAAUGCUAUUUUGUGAUGUCUUGGCGUUUAUCAGCUCAACUUCCACAACCUAAACAUUCAAGAUUAAAAUUAAACUUGUCUACUUUUCGUGUUUAGAAUGCCUGUAUAAUUAGAACUUCUUUCCAGCAUUACUAAUUUUCACUAAUAUGCCUGUAUAAUAUAGUUGCGUUUUAUGCUUCCA